rnacentral:rRNA from 1 species
AGUGAACGCUGGCGGUAGGCCUAACACAUGCAAGUCGAACGGCAGCACAGUAAGAGCUUGCUCUUACGGGUGGCGAGUGGCGGACGGGUGAGGAAUACAUCGGAAUCUACUUUUUCGUGGGGGAUAACGUAGGGAAACUAACGCUAAUACCGCAUACGACCUACGGGUGAAAGCAGGGGAUCUUCGGACCUUGCGCGAUUGAAUGAGCCGAUGUCGGAUUAGCUAGUUGGCGGGGUAAAGGCCCACCAAGGCGACGAUCCGUAGCUGGUCUGAGAGGAUGAUCAGCCACACUGGAACUGAGACACGGUCCAGACUCCUACGGGAGGCAGCAGUGGGGAAUAUUGGACAAUGGGCGCAAGCCUGAUCCAGCCAUACCGCGUGGGUGAAGAAGGCCUUCGGGUUGUAAAGCCCUUUUGUUGGGAAAGAAAAGCAGCAGGUUAAGACCCCGCUGUUCUGACGGUACCCAAAGAAUAAGCACCGGCUAACUUCGUG